CCUGCCCCUAGAAGGGUUGCAGGUAUGGCUGUUGUGUCAUAUGUAUAUCAGUAGGGGACAGAGAAGAGAGAAGCUAGGUCUAUGGUUAAUGUUCUGACCUGUGAACAUCUGAAUGAUUAGUAAGUAGCCUAACAUU